rnacentral:rRNA from 1 species
CCUACGGGGGGCUGCAGUCGAGAAUCAUUCACAAUGGGGGAAACCCUGAUGGUGCGACGCCGCGUGGGGGAAUGAAGGUCUUCGGAUUGUAAACCCCUGUCAUGUGGGAGCAAAUUAAAAAGAUAGUACCACAAGAGGAAGAGACGGCUAACUCUGUGCCAGCAGCCGCGGUAAUACAGAGGUCUCAAGCGUUGUUCGGAAUCACUGGGCGUAAGGCGUGCGUAGGCUGUUUCGUAAGUCGUGUGUGAAAGGCGCGGGCUCAACCCGCGGACGGCACAUGAGACUGCGAGACUAGAGUAAUGGAGGGGGAACCGGAAUUCUCGGUGUAGCAGUGAAAUGCGUAGAUAUCGAGAGGAACACUCGUGGCGAAGGCGGGUUCCUGGACAUUAACUGACGCUGAGGCACGAAGGCCAGGGGAGCGAAAGGGAUUAGAUACCCUAGUAGUC